CCUGAUAGCUCAGUUAGUAAAGAAUCUACCUGUGAUGUAGGAGACCCUGGUUAGAUUCCUGGAUCAGGA
rnacentral:tRNA from 1 species